UAACUUCUAAUAUUUUUUUAAUUUUAUAGUUUUUUUUGGAAUUUUCGGUUUUUUUUCCGAAAAUUUCGGUUUUUUCGGUUUUUUUUCGAAAAUUUCGGUUUUCUUCGGAUUAAUUCGGUUUUUCGGUUCGGUUCGGUUUUAAUUAUAAAAAUUUCGGUUAAUUCGGUUCGGUUUGUUCGGUUAAUUCGGUUCGGUUCGGUUUUUUUUUUAAACCGAACUAAAAUAUGGUUUGGUUUGGUUUUAGCAAAAACCGAACCAUAUAACCGAAUGCUCACCCCUA
rnacentral:lncRNA from 1 species